rnacentral:rRNA from 1 species
GACGAACGCUGGCGGCGUGCUUAACACAUGCAAGUCGAACGGAAAGGCCCUGCUUUUGUGGGGUGCUCGAGUGGCGAACGGGUGAGUAACACGUGAGUAACCUGCCCUUGACUUUGGGAUAACUUCAGGAAACUGGGGCUAAUACCGGAUAGGAGCUCCUGCUGCAUGGUGGGGGUUGGAAAGUUUCGGCGGUUGGGGAUGGACUCGCGGCUUAUCAGCUUGUUGGUGGGGUAGUGGCUUACCAAGGCUUUGACGGGUAGCCGGCCUGAGAGGGUGACCGGCCACAUUGGGACUGAGAUACGGCCCAGACUCCUACGGGAGGCAGCAGUGGGGAAUAUUGCACAAUGGGCGGAAGCCUGAUGCAGCAACGCCGCGUGCGGGAUGACGGCCUUCGGGUUGUAAACCGCUUUCGCCUGUGACGAAGCGUGAGUGACGGUAAUGGGUAAAGAAGCACCGGCUAACUACGUGCCAGCAGCCGCGGUGAUACGUAGGGUGCGAGCGUUGUCCGGAUUUAUUGGGCGUAAAGGGCUCGUAGGUGGUUGAUCGCGUCGGAAGUGUAAUCUUGGGGCUUAACCCUGAGCGUGCUUUCGAUACGGGUUGACUUGAGGAAGGUAGGGGAGAAUGGAAUUCCUGGUGGAGCGGUGGAAUGCGCAGAUAUCAGGAGGAACACCAGUGGCGAAGGCGGUUCUCUGGGCCUUUCCUGACGCUGAGGAGCGAAAGCGUGGGGAGCGAACAGGCUUAGAUACCCUGGUAGUCCACGCUGUAAACGGUGGGUACUAGGUGUGGGGUCCAUUCCACGGGUUCCGUGCCGUAGCUAACGCUUUAAGUACCCCGCCUGGGGAGUACGGCCGCAAGGCUAAAACUCAAAGGAAUUGACGGGGCCCCGCACAAGCGGCGGAGCAUGCGGAUUAAUUCGAUGCAACGCGUAGAACCUUACCUGGGUUUGACAUGGAUCGGGAGCGCUCAGAGAUGGGUGUGCCUCUUUUGGGGUCGGUUCACAGGUGGUGCAUGGCUGUCGUCAGCUCGUGUCGUGAGAUGUUGGGUUAAGUCCCGCAACGAGCGCAACCCCUGUCCUUUGUUGCCAGCAUUUAAGGUGGGCACUCAAAGGAGACUGCCGCGGAGAACGCGGAGGAAGGCGGGGAUGACGUCAAGUCAUCAUGCCCCUUAUGACCUGGGCUACACACGUACUACAAUGGGACGGACAGAGAGCAGCGAGAGGGCGACCUUAAGCGAACCUCAAAAACCGUUUCUCAGUUCGGAUUGCAGGCUGCAACUCGCCUGCAUGAAGUCGGAAUCGCUAGUAAUCGCAGGUCAGCAUACUGCGGUGAAUACGUUCCCGGGUCU